GAAUGGAUCAAUCAGUAGCUUUAUUUCUUAGAAAAUAUCAAACAAGAUUAAAUACUGUAGAAUUUCAGAGCUGGUCUCUUUCUUCAAAGGAAAUCUUACGGGGAAACCCAAUAUUAAAAAAAGAAAGUUUAGCUGCUCUGAUGAAGGGUGAGGGGGCUGAAUGAUGCUUCUGGUCCUCCUGGCACAGGGGGCCCUCACUGGCCAAGUUCAACCUUCCCAGGUGAUGGUUGUCCAUCUUCUCCUUGACCACCUCUAGAGAUCAAAGCUUCUUUACCACUAAACUACUUCCAUUUUCAGUACAGCUCAAAGCUUUUCAAAUAUUCUUCUUUCCUUUGAGCCCAGAUAAGCCUUCAUAUCACCCCUUAGCACUAGCGCUGAUUCUUUUCUUGGGGUGAAGCGAGGAGACCUAGUUCAUUUUCAUUUGAAGGCUUUUCUCAUUUCACAAUCAGGCCUACUGCCCCCUAAACAGGGGUUCUCAGCUCAACUCAUCCGAGGAGCUUUUAACACUCCUGGUAUCCAGAUUGCACUUGAAAUCUAGGUAAAUUCAAAGUGUCUCAGGAAGACACAAGGUACAGCCCUGGCUGCUAAGGAGAGCCUGUGCCAUAGCCUCUGCUGCCCAAGGCGAAUGUGACCACCUUUUCUACCUGAUCCUUAGUUGACAUCAUUUUAUAGUUGCUCAUCAUCCUCUCUGCUUUCUUCUCAGAGUGCUACAUCGUCCACACACAAACGCUGAAGAACAUAUUUCAUCGGUUCCUAUCUCCAUGCGUUAACUUCUCUUUAUUGAAUGACUCAUAGCCAUCAAGUCCAAGGAAGCAUAAAGGGGAUAACAUCUACGUAAAAACUGGUUUCCAUCAACCGCUCUGGGCUGCAGAGCGUUAUUGAGAUAAACAUAGUAACUGUGAUGAAAGCUUCAUCUCAAACCCACGUGUUCCCUCCUCAUUUGGACCCUCAUUUCUCCCCUAUUAGAGCAGAGGCUACAGAAGAAAGAAAAAGAAAGAAAGAAAGGAGGAAGGGAGGAAGGAAAGAGGAAGACAGAGAGAACGAAAGAAAAAGGAAGGAAGGAAGAAAACCAACCUGGAGAUAACUCAUAGCCUCAUAGCAAGCGCCAUAUGAGUCAUUUAAGAAAAAAAAAAAAAAAAAAGAGCCACCACAACCUUCAGCAGAAGAGAACCAUUGAGCUCAAGUUGGGAAAAAAAAUAUGUAUGUAUGUAUGUGUG
ensembl:lncRNA